CGCGUAAGAACCUACCCUUAGGAGGGGGACAACAAUUGGAAACGGUUGCUAAUACCCCAUAUGCUGAGGAGUAAAACGGUAACAACCGCCUAGGGAUGGGCUUGCGUCUGAUUAGCUUGUUGGUGGGGUAAAUGCUUACCAAGGCGACGAUCAGUAGUUGGUCUGAGAGGAUGACCAGCCACACUGGGACUGAGACACGGCCCAGACUCCUACGGGAGGCAGCAGUGAGGAAUUUUCCGCAAUGGGCGAAAGCCUGACGGAGCAAUGCCGCGUGGAGGACGAAGGCCUGUGGGUUGUAAA
rnacentral:rRNA from 1 species